rnacentral:rRNA from 1 species
AGUGAACGCUGGCGGUAGGCCUAACACAUGCAAGUCGAACGGCAGCACAGUAAGAGCUUGCUCUUACGGGUGGCGAGUGGCGGACGGGUGAGGAAUACAUCGGACUCUACUUUUUCGUGGGGGAUAACGUAGGGAAACUUACGCUAAUACCGCAUACGACCUACGGGUGAAAGCAUGGGAUCUUCGGACCUUGCGCGAUUGAAUGAGCCGAUGUCGGAUUAGCUAGUUGGCGGGGUAAAGGCCCACCAAGGCGACGAUCCGUAGCUGGUGUGAGAGGAUGAUCGGCCACACUGGAACGUAGACACGGUCCAGACUCCUACGGGAGGCAGCAGUGGGGAAUAUUGGACAAUGGGCGCAAGCCUGAUCCAGCCAUACCGCGUGGGUGAAGAAGGCCUUCGGGUUGUAAAGCCCUUUUGUGGGGAAAGAAAAGCAGCAGGUUAAUACCCCGCUGUUCUGACGGUACCCAAAGAAUAAGCACCGGCUAACUUCGUG